rnacentral:rRNA from 1 species
UACAGAGGGUGCGAGCGUUAAUCGGAAUUACUGGGCGUAAAGCGCACGUAGGUGGCGACGUAAGUCGGGUGUGAAAGCCCCGGGCUCAACCUGGGAAUUGCAUUCGAGACUGCAUUGCUGGAGUACGGAAGAGGAGGGCGGAAUUCUCGGUGUAGAGGUGGAAUUCGUAGAUAUCGAGAGGAACACCGGUGGCGAAGGCGGCCUUCUGGACAGUGACUGACGCUGAGACACGAAAGCGUGGGGAGCAAACAGG